CUUUUCUUGUUUUUUUUUUCCUUUUCUCAAGAAUGGGGUUUUGAUUUUAUUGAGAAAAGAACAGGGUUGGGUUUGUUAUACAACCAAUUGAUUCUCCAAGAAACAUUCGAACUUUCUUGCGUGUAAUUUGACUGUUUUCAAUAGAUAAACUGAAAUUCUUGUACUGUCUUUUCUUUUGGAGAACAAUUUAGAGGAUUCUUGAUGUUUAACUGUCUUUGUCAUACUGAAAACUAGUUAUUGAGAAAAUAAUGGGGUUCUUGAUUUAUCCUAUAAGGCAUGUCCAGUUUUCAAGAAUGGGGUCUUGAUUUUAUUGAGAAAAGAACAGGGUUCGGUCUUUAUACAACUAGUUGAUUCUGCAAGAAACAUGCAAACUUUCUUGCAUGCCAUUUGGCUGUUGUCAAUAGAUAAACUGAAAUUCUUGUAGUGUCGUUUUCUUUUGGGGAACAAUUUAGAGGAUUCUUGAUGUUAUAACUGUCUUUUGGGAAACAAUUCUUGUAGUGUCUGUUAUACAACUAAUUGAUUCUGCAAGAAACAUUCAAACUUUCUUGGGUGCCAUUGGCUGUUAUCAAUAGAUAAACUGAAAUUCUUGUAGUGUCGUUUUCUUUUGGGGAACAAUUUAGAGGAUUCUUGAUGUUCUAAUUGUCUUUAUCAUACUGAAAACCGGUUAUUGAGAAAAGAAUGGGGUUCUUGAUUUAUUCCAUUAGGCAUGUCUUUAUCCUUCCAAGGCAUGUCGUUUUCAAGAAUGCCAUGGGGUCUUGGUUUUUAUUUAGAAAAGAACAGUGUUGGGUUUGUUAUACUACCAAUUGCUUCUGCAAGAAACAUUCGAACUUUCUUGCAUGUCCUUUGGCUGUUGUCAAUCGAUAAACUGAAAUUCUUGCAGUGUUGUUUACUUUGGGGUGACAAUUAUAGGAUUCUUGAUGUUAUAACUGUCUUUAUCAUAUUAAAAGCUGGUUAUCCGAAGUUAACAUGAGUAAUGCGUUAUUGUUAUUGUAUUCAGACUUGGUGAUUUAAGCGGCUCAGCUAUGAUGUAUUUAUGGUUUUUGGGGAAUGCAAGAUGGUGUUGUUCGUGUUAAAGGUCAAUGAUGACAGAUUGCGUACCGCCGGUGAGGCUUCUCAACGGAGUACCAAAGAGGAAUGGGCAGAGUGGAUGAGGCAUUUCAGCAUUGAACUUUUGAAAGAAUCACCCUAUUCCAGCAUUAAGAACUUGCACAAGGCUGGCUAAACUACUACAGCCUUCUUCUCCAAAUAUCCCUCCUGAAAUUCUUGCUACACUUCUGAACUUGGCGGAGUUUAUGGAACAUGCUGAGUGACCCCUCUUCCUUUAGAUAACCCGUCUUCUGGGUGCUCUAGCGGAGAAGUGUCGAGCAUUUGCAAAGGCCCUACACUACAUGGAAAUGGAAUCUGAAGUCGCACUUUCAAAUAGGAGGGAUGCAAAUCCUGUUGCUGUAGUUGAAGCUCUAAUCCAAAUAAAUAAUCAAUUACAUCAACAUGAGGCAACUGUUGGAAUAUUAACAUAUGCUCAGCAGCAUUUGGGGGUUCAGUUGAAGGAGUCACGUUUGGCUAAUUGUAUUUUCCAGGCGGAGUUUAUGGAACAUGAUGAGAGAUCCCCCUUCCUAUAGAUAUCCGUCUGCUGGGUGCUCUAGUG